UACGUAGGCAGCAAGCGUUGUUCGGAAUUAUUGGGCGUAAAGAGUGUGUAGGCGGUGUUCCAAGUCUGUUGUGAAAUCUCCCGGCUUAACUGGGAGGGUGCGGCGGAAACUGGAAUGCUAGAGGGUGGGAGAGGUGAAGCGGAAUUCCGUGGUGUAGCGGUGAAAUGCGUAGAUAUCAGGAGGAACACCUGUGGUGUAGACAGCUUACUGGACCACUUCUGACGCUGAGACACGAAAGCGUGGGUAGCAAACAGG
rnacentral:rRNA from 1 species